UGAGCGCUAUCAUGAUCAUUUUCUUUCUUUAUGAACUAAAUAGAUCGGUGACCAGCAGACCAAAGAAACUGAUCAGAUGUAUGGAAUCAAUUUCUUUGCUCUAUGGUCAUCAAAAAAAGAAAAAGAAAAAUUCUUUGCUCUAUAUCUAGACUGGGUGGUCGAAUAUGCAUGUCAUAUCCUCGUCAAUCUCGUUCACUUGGGGACGGGCCGUGUUUAUAACGUACUUCCCCACACAUUAUUAGCUCUUUCUCGAAUCUCGAUCAUUAUCUUUGUUUUAAUUGGAUGGUCUCCACUGCAAUUAUAAUAGUCGCUGUAGGGUUAAGUACAAUAUGCAACGCAUGCGAUCCCCAACUAAUUCCAGAGAGCGUCUGCUCUCCACCCCGGGUGGUUCUCCAACUGGCCUAUUAACAGUGCGUGGGUUUCACGCUCUGUUGAUGUUUGGAAUACCCAAAAAAACCAUUGAGGUCAGUAAAUUUAUGUUUACUGCAAUCAAUCACAUGCAGUUCACACGUUUCAUUACUGGAUCAAAACGCUCUCAAUCUGAAGUUCAUCAACCAUGACCUUUGCCUCCGCCGCACUGAGCAGGUUUGGGAGAGUCUGAAGGAGUUUGAUCUCAUCAACCCAAACUUUGGUACCUCACGCCCGCCGUCUACCACCUCCAUUGCCGCCUUCAGCUUCGCUCCCCCGGUGAUCACCUCGAGUUCUGUUUGUGAUUUUGAUUUCAUUUCCUCUGUCCUGAAAACCUGAAAUUUUUGGUGGAUUGGAUUCGAUAAAAUGUUGGGUUUUGUUUUCUGAUGAGAAUAGAUGAACAAGUUUAUAUCCUUACUGGAGAAUUGGGAAUAGAUGAACAAGUUUGUAUCUUUAUUGGAGAAUUUGACUUUCUCUGUAUCUUGAUCUGGCUUUCUGAUUGUGCUCUUAGAACUAUUGAGUCUAUGUUCGCUUCUCUGCUCUGUCUAUUCAAAACCAGUGGAAGAGUUUAACUUUGCUUCCUUUCAAUUUCUGAUCUUUUUUCGUGACCAUACAACAUAAUAGAAUUUAGAAUAGAAGCAUGACAUACCAUACACAACAUAAUAGAAUUUGGAAUAGACUCACUUUACUGUUAUCAAUACCUGCAAUCAGAAUCACAGAAGAAGCUUACAGUGCCUUUAAUAUGGGUAGACAUAUCUCUGGGUAAAAGACCACACCAGCAGCAAACAAGUCGUAUACAAGUAGUAUUUUUUUUUUUUUUUUGGCUUUAGUAUAAGAGUAGUACUGUAAUGGGCUGCGUUAAUUGGUGAUUCUCGGAGGACUGCGUAAGAGGAGACCACUCAACCAUGGCCCUUCUAAAUGAGGCUUUAACAAAUGCAGAUGUUCUACUAGCAGACAAAAAUGACCGGUCAGUUGUCAACCAUAUCAUAAGCUUCUUGCGGCAGCAGCAAUCCAUAGUGACAAUCUCAAUGUUGAAAGUUGAAGGAUGACAAAUUUUUGAUUUAUUAUUUCCGAGCCAUUUGUUUGCUUGGCUGGAUCUUCAUUUUCUUUUGUUACAUUACUAGAGGUGGCUCCUCCUGUUAUAGUAUGAUUACUGUGUUCUGUUUGAAAACACAAGUGUAUAUUCAACUGUUUGCUGUAUCAUGCUUGGAUCUUCUCAUUACUAUUUAUAAAUCUAUAUGCCAUUGCCUGUUC